rnacentral:ncRNA from 1 species
GUCUGAACCAUUUUGUGAAAGAUGGAAAUAAAUUAAUAUGAUAACAAGUUGAACAGGCUAAUUUGCGCAAGAGUGUACAUAAUGAGUGCGCGGUUUGGCACCUCGAUGUCGGCUUAACUUAUCCUCAUGGACGCAGAAACUAUGUAGGGUACGACUGUUCGUCGAUUAAAAAGUUACAUGAGCUGGGUUAAAUACGUCGUGAGACAGUAUGGUUUCUAUCUUCUAGAGGGAGUUAGAAUAAAACAAAGAUUAACCUUGUACGAAAGGAACAUGGGACACUAUUGUUAUACCCUGGCUGUAUACCAGUUUUAUUAACCAAUGGUUUACCUGUUGUUUAUAUGCCUGAUAUUAAUUAUUAAUAUUGAAACAAUAUUAAUAUAUAGGAUAAUUAUAUUAAUUAUCCGGGGAUGUUAACGUCACUUUACUAAAUAAAUAAUAUAAGCACGGCAGGAAAGCUAAGUUAGUCCAAGAUAAGUGCUGAAAGCAUAUAGGCACGAAACUUACUUUGAGAUAUUUCUUAAAUAUACGUAAUAUAAUAUUACAUUAAUAGGCCUAGAUUGUAAUAAUUUAGAGAUUUUAAGACAUUAGGUACUAAUUUUAUAA